rnacentral:rRNA from 1 species
UACGUAGGGAGCAAGCGUUGUCCGGAAUCAUUGGGCGUAAAGCGCGCGUAGGUGGCCUCAUAAGUCCGUUGUGAAAGUCAAAGGCUCAACCUUUGAAAGCCGAUGGAUACUGUGAGGCUAGAGUCCGGAAGAGGCGAGUGGAAUUCCUGGUGUAGCGGUGGAAUGCGCAGAUAUCAGGAGGAACACCAAUAGCGAAGGCAGCUCGCUGGGACGGUACUGACACUGAGGCGCGAAAGCGUGGGGAGCAAACAGG